AUUGAACGCUGGCGGCAGGCCUAACACAUGCAAGUCGAGCGGAUGAAGGGAGCUUGCUCCUGGAUUCAGCGGCGGACGGGUGAGUAAUGCCUAGGAAUCUGCCUGGUAGUGGGGGAUAACGUCCGGAAACGGGCGCUAAUACCGCAUACGUCCUGAGGGAGAAAGUGGGGGAUCUUCGGACCUCACGCUAUCAGAUGAGCCUAGGUCGGAUUAGCUAGUUGGUGGGGUAAAGGCCUACCAAGGCGACGAUCCGUAACUGGUCUGAGAGGAUGAUCAGUCACACUGGGACUGAGACACGGUCCAGACUCCUACGGGAGGCAGAAGUGGGGAAUAUUGGACGAUGGGCGAAAGCCUGAUCCAGCCAUGCCGCGUGUGUGAAGAAGGUCUUCGGAUUGUAAAGCACUUUAAGUUGGGAGGAAGGGCAGUAAGUUAAUACCUUGCUGUUUUGACGGUACCAACAGAAUAAGCACCGGCUAACUUCGUG
rnacentral:rRNA from 1 species